rnacentral:rRNA from 1 species
AGUGAACGCUGGCGGUAGGCCUAACACAUGCAAGUCGAACGGCAGCACAGUAAGAGCUUGCUCUUACGGGUGGCGAGUGGCGGACGGGUGAGGAAUACAUCGGAAUCUACUUUUUCGUGGGGGAUAACGUAGGGAAACUUACGCUCAUACCGCAUACGACCUACGGGUGAAAGCAGGGGAUCUUCGGACCUUGCGCGAUUGAAUGAGCCGAUGUCGGAUUAGCUAGUUGGCGGGGUAAAGGCCCACCAAGGCGACGAUCCGUAGCUGGUCUGAGAGGAUGGUCAGCCACACUGGAACUGGGACACGGUCCAGACUCCUACGGGAGGCAGCAGUGGGGAAUAUUGGACAAUGGGCGCAAGCCUGAUCCAGCCAUACCGCGUGGGUGAAGAAGGCCUUCGGGUUGUAAAGCCCUUUUGUUGGGAAAGAAAAGCAGCAGGUUAAUACCCCGCUGUUCUGACGGUACCCAAAGAAUAAGCACCGGCUAACUUCGUG